rnacentral:rRNA from 1 species
GAUGAACGCUAGCGGGAGGCCUAACACAUGCAAGCCGAGCGGUAGAGAUCUUUCGGGAUCUUGAGAGCGGCGUACGGGUGCGGAACACGUGUGCAACCUGCCUUUAUCUGGGGGAUAGCCUUUCGAAAGGAAGAUUAAUACCCCAUAAUAUAUUGAUUGGCAUCAAUUGAUAUUGAAAACUCCGGUGGAUAGAGAUGGGCACGCGCAAGAUUAGAUAGUUGGUGAGGUAACGGCUCACCAAGUCAAUGAUCUUUAGGGGGCCUGAGAGGGUGAUCCCCCACACUGGUACUGAGACACGGACCAGACUCCUACGGGAGGCAGCAGUGAGGAAUAUUGGACAAUGGGUGAGAGCCUGAUCCAGCCAUCCCGCGUGAAGGACGACGGCCCUAUGGGUUGUAAACUUCUUUUGUAUAGGGAUAAACCUUUCCACGUGUGGAAAGCUGAAGGUACUAUACGAA